GUCCCUGUAGCGCAAUGGAUAAGCGCUUCGGACUUUUAAUCCAAUGGGCGUGGGUUCGAAUCCCACCUGAGAAU